AAAAGAGAAUUAAUGUUAAUACUGUAGCAUCUUUCCCUCUUUGGUAUGUACAAUGUAGGUAGCCUCUUUUAUUAGCAUAAAAAGAACUAAAAAGAGAACUGUCUCAAACUGGGUACGGCAUGCCAAACUGUCCUGUCAAAAAGGAAAAUAGAAAAUCAGUAAGAAAUAAUAAAAGUACAAGCUAAGGUACGUAGAUGAGAUAUGACAAAACUCUCAAUAACAGUUUUAUUUGUUCCGAAUUUUUUUUAUUGUUAUAUCGAUGUGUUAAGGGUGUAGAAAUCGAAUCGGAAAAUCAUACCAAACCGAAAAGUCAAACCAACCCGAUGAAAAAACCCAAUUAGAUUUGGUAUUGAGUAAAAAACCCGAAUCAAACCGACAUAUAAAUAUAUAUAUAAUUUUUAUAUAUAUUUUAAAGGCUUUUUAUAGAAUUUUUUUUUAAAAAAACAUCUAGAAAUAAUUACGAUUCUCUUAUGGGAUAUAAUAUUUGGUUAAAUAUGAAGUGCUCCAUUUUUAUUAAUUUUAAAUAAUUAGUUGUGUGAUCACUUUCUUAUCAAAAGUUACUGAAAUGCGUCAUUCUCUUUGUUCUUUCAUAUUCAUAUGUCAACAUCUAUUAAAUUCUUAUAUUUUUUUAAAUUUGAAGUGGUAUUUCGAUAAUUUAAAAUUAAAUAAAAUAUAUCAUCAUUUAAGUAUCAUAUUAAUUUUUAUGUUUAAUUAUUAAAUUCGGUUAACCUUGAAAGUGUGCAACAACAAAAAAUUAUCAGAUGACUAAAAAAAUUAUCAUGUGUUACUAAGAAAAUUCUCUCAUAAGAAUAUUUUAAUAGAUCAUGCGUUUGUCAUUUUUUUAAAUUUUUACUAAACAUAUAUUUACUUAUAAAAAUUUUAACAAAGUAAGAUUCAAAUAAUAUUCAUAUAACAAAAAAACCCGAAAGUCUGUAUCAAUCAAAGACGGAUCUUGAAAAUGAUGGAUUAAUCUGAACCUGGAAUCCACCUGGUGCAGAUUAGUAACAGUAAGUGAUGAUUUUUCAUGUUGAAUCGAAUUUACGAGAAGUGUCCGGAGGAUUUUGUUUAUUGUUGGAUGUCACAAUCCAUAAUAGGAUCAGGAUGUAGCCAACAACCAAUGAAAUGAGUGAAAAUUCUAGUAACAGAUCAAGGUUCAAGAACUAAGACAAAAAUUUAGGUGAUCUUGAUCGACAAAAUUAUCCGAUAUUUUUGUUGUGAAUGGAAGUAGUAAAUGCCUGAUAAAAUAAUUGAUGAGCACACAAAUUGAUAUGAAUAUCACCGUUAUUUAGAAGAAAAAAAAUUAUCCACAAUUUGAUUUCUGUUGGUGCAUGCUUAAAAAGAGAGAAGAGCUCCACUAUACUCAAAGCUAAAGAACAAAAACUAGAGAUGUCUACAUCAUCCACCACUUCUUGUUGAGAUAAAACCGUGUUUCUUUUGGUAUCGACAAGUCAAAUAUAACUCUUAAAAAGAAAAUCAGCAAAUCUUCAUGAUCUCAACUUUGCAUUUGAAUUGAUUGGUGUCUUUUUGGAUCAUUGUGGAAGGCACUGACAUGUCUCUGUUACUAAACCAUCAAUUCUUGAAGUAAAAAGCGGUAAAAAACUACCUAGACAAUUAAUUCAAUCUUCUGGAAAAAGAAAACAGCAGAAAGAUUGAAAUUCCAUUUAAACUAGAAAAACAGAAUUUUCCUAGGUUUUCCCUAUCACCAAAAGAAUAUUCACUAACAAACCCCGCUGCCACCAGAGAGAUUUGAGAUGAAUCAAUGAAAAAGAAACAUAGAAUAACUGCACAAAUUUGCAAAGCAUUUCACUAUCCAACAGCCAAAGGUACACAAAUAUGCAAAUAAAACAAGGAAACUUUGUUAAUUAUCAGAUCCAUUAUGUACUCAUCCAAUUAAUUGAAUCAAACAUCAUGGAAGAAAAAAACAAUUACCUCAAUAGUUACUCCAUACAUAGAAUACACAAAUAAAGAAAUCUAGAGAGAGAGAGUGGUGGGGUGACAGAUAGAGCAGUGAGCACGCAUAGGUUCAAGUAUAUCAUAUGCAAGAAAACACCAUGUGUGCUCACUCUCUUCUGUCACCUAUCACAUCCUUUUGCUAGGGUAAUUUUUUGGCGAAAGGGAUUAAGAUAAAACCUUUCACCCUAUAGUUCUGCUCCUAAGUUCCAUACCAAUAAUACCAUAUGUUCAUAAACACAGAUGCGCGCAUACAUAAAACAUAAAGAGAAAUAUAUAGAGAGACAGUGGUGGGGGUGACAGAUAGAGCAGCGAGCACGCAUAGCUUCAAGCAUAGACGGAUUUCAUGCAAGAAAAGACCAUGUGUGCUCACUCUCUUCUGUCACCUCCCUUUUUUACCCCAGCUAUAUAUAGUUAACCUGGAUUAAUGUAGAAUACAAUUCUCUCCCGCCGACAAAAUCUUUUACCACAAGAAGAUGUAGGAAACCCUAGAUCUGAAACUACAAUCGUAGAAGUACUGUUUUGGAACAAUGAUUUUGA
rnacentral:lncRNA from 1 species